GUAAAUGCAUUCUUUGCUUUUUCAGAUUAUUAAAAUGAGAUUUUUGACAAUUACAGCCCGUAACAAAUCUCUGGUAAUUAGUUUCUGAAAACCAUUUUUUGUACACAAACAGUUAAAGCAGCCCAUCCCCCACUGUACAGCAGUGCUGCUGGGUCAAAACAACCCAAUUGCUGGAUCAUCUGUCCCGGGGAUUUUGGAUCGUCAGAAGCAGAAAUACAGCAGCACUUUACAAGCAGACAUUCUUCAGCGGUUCUUUUCUGGUGAAAUAAAGGGGUGGCGAACGUCGGUCCUGGAGAGCCGCAGUCCUGCAGUGUUUAGCUCCAGCUCUAAUCAAACACACCUGAACAGGUAAUCAAGGUCUAAAUAGUUACUAGAAACCUUCAGACAGGUGAGGUUUAAUCAGGGUUGGAGCUAAAAACUGCAGGGCUGCGGCUCUCCAGGACCGACGUUCGCCACCCCUGGUCUAUUAUCUAUAUUGAUAGAAAAGAAUGCAUCACUUAGAGCUAAAAGUUUGUGUUUUUCUGUUUUAGGUGGUCUGAGUUUCCAUGAGUUUCCUCGGCUAACUACCCCAUGCAUGAUUGCACAAGACUUUUACACAUUACACCAGGAUGCAGCUCCAAAACUCUUCGAGAAAUGGCUCCCUUGAUAUACCAAUAGGAUCUUGCAAAGCUUCCAUGUUCAGUUGAGGAGAUGACACAAGAUGCAAACGGAUAUCUUGCAUUAAAGCUGCUCCCUGUUUUGCUUCCACCUCCACCCUUCAAAACUGCCAGAAAAAGUCCGGCCCAGCAUUGAUGAUGGCAAAAAAGCUUUCAUCGACAUUCAGCCUGUAAGUACAAAUCAAGAAAUUUACUUUAAUACGUUAUUUACCAGGUAUUUAAAUAAACUACCAUUCAAAAGUUUGGGACAUUAUGUUAGUGGCUGUCUUAAAGUGGGCAAGAUCAAGGUGUAAUAACUCCCAAACCCAUC